UAGGGAAGUCUUCGGCAAUGGACGAAAGUCUGACCGAGCAACGCCGCGUGAGUGAAGAAGGUUUUCGGAUCGUAAAACUCUGUUGGUAGAGAAGAACGUUGGUGAGAGUGGAAAGCUCAUCAAGUGACGGUAACUACCCAGAAAGGGACGGCUAACUACGUGCUAG
rnacentral:rRNA from 1 species